rnacentral:tRNA from 1 species
UCCCUGGUGGCUCAGAUGGUAAAGAAUCUGCCUGCAAUGCAGGAGACCUGGGUUCGAUCCCUGGGUUGGGAG